rnacentral:tRNA from 1 species
GGGCCCGUAGCUCAGCUGGAUAGAGCAGGGGACUUCUAAUCCCCAGGUCGGGGGUUCGAAUCCCUCCGGGCCCGCCA